CUGCACAUGUUGAAUGUUGGAAUGUAUUUUUUGAAAAUUACGUUUUUUUUUUUGCUAGCCUUCAAAAUGAAACAUAUUUAGGCUUAUGUGUAGGCUUUAAUAGAAUAAGAUUCUAAUGGGAAUAUUAAUGUUUCAGCUGUAGAAUAUGGAUAUAAAUAGUGAUUGGGUCAUUUUGCAGGAAACACUGUCCAUCCAUCCAUCCCAAUGGCACUACAGCCCAUGGAGGGCUUUAGCUGGCUUCAACACAUCCCUCCAUUCAGAUCUCUCCUUCGCCUUUUAUCUCUGUCACUAUCUGUGGGUCUUCAUACAAUUGAUAUAUCUCAUGAAUAGAGAUGUAAUUCUGCUGUGUCCCCGUGAGUUGGAAACCAGUAAGCAAGUCUUCUAAUAGAGGUCUGAUAGAGUCAUGUACAUCAAGCGAUCAGCACUAAAAGAUGUGGACCUGAUGUGGUGUCAAGCUGAUGAAGCUUUUGCUUUCUUCUUUUGGCUGUUCGUUUAACACAAGACAAAGCACAGACUGAUCGUCAUACCAUUUUAAGAUCCUGGGAUGUGAAAGACUUUGCACCGGACUGUCGUCAGUAUCUUUACCUCUUCCAUGCCGGCAAUAAAAUACAUCUGAAACUUGUUGAUCAUAUUGUGCGUAAAGAUGGGUUAGGUUAGAUGAGUUCAGCUUUGCCUUGUUAGCCAACAACUGUCUGUAUCCUGGACUGUCCACACUUGUAUUAUUGCUGGUACACUUUCAGCAGUGAGCCAUGGCAGCAGACGUAUAGAAGGCAUGCUGGGAAUGAAAUUCAUCACAUACAGCUGCAAAAAAGUGUUUUCAUUGGUAAUUAUGUGGGCUACACAAGCCUCAGCUGAUGCUCACCAAAGCUCUUGGAAAUCCUAUGCCGAACUGGGAGUCGAACACUUAGUGAGGUUGUGACUGAACGUCGCAUGAGGUUUGCGGGACAUGUUCUACGUCAAAAUGAAUUACGCACACCAAGAGUUGCGAUAACAUGGAAGCCAAAACAAGGAAAGCGCAAACAGAGACGUCCUCGUAUUACCUGGUGACACACCUUCAUGGAGGACCUCAGAACAGUGGACACCAGGUGGGAGGAGGCUUCAGACAUUACCAGUGACAGAUCAUUAUGGAGACAGCUUGCCACCCAAUGCGCCGAACGGCGCCGGAGGACCUAUGUCUAAAAUGUUGAGUCAGAUAUUGAAGCCAGAGCUUUGUAUCUAAGUCAAAGACCACUAGUAUUUGACAGUGUUUACAGAGGACAAGAUGUUCCAGCUCAGUCCAAAAUUCAUAAAGACUGUGUCUCAGCGAAGCAUAAGAGUUGGUCUUGGAUUCAAACAGUCAAUGAAUGUUUAGGCAUUCAUAGUGAAAAUACUGCUAACUAUCAUCAGUUCUACCAUAAUGUUUGCCACCUGGAAGAAGACAUGCUUUCAUUCUUGCUUUGGAUGGACAGUUCAACAGUUAGAGCUCAAGUCAAGACUCAAGAUCCUGAUGUCAUGUUAAAACAUUUCAGUUUAAUAAACAAUUGUUGGACUAUCAGGGCUAGUUAGAUCUUCUCACAGAGCGAAGUUGAGAUAUUCACCCAGUUCAUCACCGCCAAGAACUGCCAGAAUGGCAUUUGAAGGCUAGAGCUCUUGUCCAAUAUCAGCACAAACAUGUGUCAUUAGCAAAAGGGGACUUUGUCAAGAUUUUGGAAAAUUCUGAUGCUGAAAGAUGGAAGAUGGAAUAGAAAGUGAAGUCCCUGCUAUUGUGUUGGUCAUUCCUUCCUGCUUCCAACAGAUUGAUAAAUUAAGAGAACAAAUCAAGGUCAAUAGUUCUAUUGCUGCUAAAAGAUUAAGGUCACAUUUGAUCCAGUUUUUAAGUUCUGCUAUUUCCCAGACACAGUCCAAAGAUAUGGUGAAUGAGGCAGCAGACAUCUUGAAAGGAGCUGAUUUCAAGUUCCUUCAACACUCUUUUCAUUUUAUUUAGGAAGAAGCUCAUCAGUCACUUCAAACCAGGUGAUGAUGGAGUCAUAAACAGUAGGAUACAGAGGUGGAACAAAACUGGAGCUUUAGUUUGUUUGUUUGUAGAACUUGGCAUCUACUCCAGACAUUAUUCUGAAGAACACUCAAGUAAAAGAAAAGAAGAAUAGUUAAAGGUUAAGGACCUGGUCUCCAAUCAUAGUUACACUUCAAAAGCUUUAAUUUGAAAGGUCUUAUAUUUUUGUGGAAAUAAAUUUUACUAGUGGAGUUUUUGUAGCUGCCAGAGUGGAUCAAGGUGGAUGUGAUAUCUAUUUAUAAACAUGUAUACCAGUAUAUUGUAAUCAGUGAUUUUCAUUUUUUGGUAACAGUUUGUUUCCAUUUAGAUUGCAGUCUUUCUUAUGUGAAAACAAGAUGUCUGCAUAAUCUUAGAGGACAUUUUUAAACUCAUUUAAAUUUAUUAGAUGAAAUAUUUAUAAAACAUACAAUGUAAAUUGUUUUGUAAAAUGAUUAUACAUUUGAGUUCAUAAAAAUGUGUAAUUUUUUAAUGGCAUCAUGUUUCUGCUUAUCUGUAUCUGAUACUGAUGAUGUGUUUUCUAAAUCUAUUACUGCUUCACCAUUGAGGAAAAACUGCACAUGUUUAAACCCAUAUCUGAAGUAACUUUCCAGAAAAAAAAAAAGAUGUAUGUUGGACAGUGUCCAAAAUUUCAAAUCAUUUCCUUCAAAAUGUUAUCAAUUUCCUCCAUAACUUCAUAACAUUAUUGAAUUUUUUCCUUCAGAACACAAUUGUAAAUUAUCUUUUUUUUUUUUUUUUGUUAAACCACAAUGAGAGUCUAAUAACUAAUAGUCUAGCAAACAAUUACUUAUAAUUUGCCUUAUUAUUAUACAAUAUUAAGAUUUACUUCUGCAGGGAUGAAAAACUUUUUUAAAAAUACAAUAGACAUGUAUAAUAAUAAAGUACAUUCACACAUGACUCACUCAUAAUUUACAUGUGAAAAGUUUAUAUCAGAUUGUUUCUAUUUAAUGAUUUGAUUGCCAUCAGUGUCUUGUAUCUCUUUUGUGAUGGUAAAGUCACAAAAUGUAGGAAACCCCACUGUGUUUGGUCCAGUAUGUGGGUUAUUAUAUGUAAGUCUAUUGUAUUUUCUAUAUUAUUUUACAAAUGUAAAAAAAAUAAAAAGAAAUUGUUACACUGUU